GUUUUCGCGCGCUUCGCUGCGUCCCCGCCGCCCCCCGCCGCCCCCCGGCCCCUCCCGCGCCGCGCCGCGCAGACACAAUGGGCGCGGAGCCGGCUCUUCCUCCCCAGCGGCUGACGCGUUUGCAAAAAUAGCUCUCGGCUCCCGGAAUCCCCGCCCGGGUCCUAGCCCGCCCCCUGCCCCUCCGGGCCGCAGCCGUGGGCGACGCAGCCUGCCUGAGGGAGUGGGUCCCGGGGUCCCAGCUCUGUGGGCGCGAGGCGGGGCAGGGCGGCCCCCAGGGUGACUGGGAGAGCGCCGCUCUGGGGAGUGAGGGCGGCGAGGCUGGGGCCUCCAAACCCCAGAAGGGACGGGACGGGGCUGGCCUCGGUGAGCUGCCAGCCUGCGCUCUGGAUCCAGCCGGGCGCGUCCCCUCCCACCCUCGCGCCGCGGCUGUCGCCGGCCCCGGCCCCCAGUGACGCCCAGGCUCGCCUCCUGCCUGGGUUCCAGGGGGCUGCACCCGGCCAGCGCCGCCCUCCGGAGCCCAGGCCUGUGCCCAGGGCACCCUGGAGGCCCAGCCUUUCUUGCCCGGUGGCGGCGGUUGGGGCAGGGUCGGACCUAGGCCGCGAUGGGGGAUUAGAAGACCUACCUGCCCCAAGUAGCUCGGACAGCUCACCCUCCCAGACACGCCUGGGCUACCUCAUUUCGUCCGCAUCGACUCUGCUGACAUCCCAGGGGAAGCGUCAGCAUUUCGGGAGAGCACCCCUUGCCACCCGACUUUGGGAACUGAGAACCACCUGCCCGCAGGCAGGGCCGAGGCUGAGCCCCAACCCAAGAUGAGCCUUUGGUUUAGUAGCCUGGGACCUGGACAUUUGGAAAGAGACAGAUCAGACUGGAAGCCUCUCCAUCCGGCUUCCACAGAUUACCUUUGUGUUACUUCCUUUUCCCCUAGUCAAGACUUGCUUUAAGUUUUAAGGUGGUAGGAAGGAGAUAUUUUAGUAAAGUAUCCGAUGUAUCUUUUUGGUGCUAUGCUAAUUAUUACCAAGAGCCUCAGUGGUUUUGACUGCAGCCUCCACAUUUUGCACCACCAUGAUGGGGUUUAGCAAUAAAGGGCUGUCUGCUGUCCAGUAGGAAAAAACAGAUUAAUAGACAUUAAUAGAGCCUUCCAGAACACAGCCAUUAAACAGCAACUCACCAUAAUUGAAUAGCAACCACUCUACCUGCUAAUUUCACUCACCAGGUGAUAAGUUAAUUUUACAGUUGAUAAUUUAACUUCUAACACAUAAAAAUAUCAUUUGGUUGAGUCGACUGGUAACUUUCCUUCAAAUGUGGAUUUUUAUUGAAAAACACUGGAAUUAUGAAAAGGAAGGUAAUGUUUACCACUCAUAUCAGACAUGUAAGGCCUACUUUGAGCCUAUUUCUUCAUGGACAUACAUCAUGGCUAAAUUCCACUGAGUGGAAAAUAUUGGCUGCACUGUGGCACUUACUUCAUUUUAAUUAAUCAGAAGGAGAGAUUUUUUCAAAGAAUAGCAUGUACUUGUGUCUGCCUGAGAUGAAUUCCUCUUCCAGCAGCAGUGACAUUUCAGGUCCUCUCCUUUCUAUUCUUCAUCAAGAUGACUGCAUCCAGAGAAGAACUCAAUUAUUUCAAGCAAACAGAAGGCAAUAACUUGGCAGUAAUUUUGAAAUUGCAUCCUAAAAUAUUCUCUUUUUUUUCCCUUUAAGGGCUUUGAAAUAAAAUGUGCCACCAAUUAAAAUGACUUUUGAGUGAAUCCGAUGAGCAAUAUAUCAUGGCAUUAUUAUCUUUGCUUGAGUAAGGCUAAUAACCUAAAAUGCAAAAGGGAGCAUCCCAUUUAUUCUUGAAUAUGAUGAGUAAAUAAAGACCAG
rnacentral:lncRNA from 10 species